GCUAUCUCUCUAGAGGCUUCCGAUAAAGUUGGAGCAAUACAGAGAAAGAUUAGCACGGCCCAUCCAAAGGAUGGCCCGGACGAAUCGAGAAAUGGUCCUCGUUUUG